rnacentral:rRNA from 1 species
AUUGAACGCUGGCGGCAGGCCUAACACAUGCAAGUCGAGCGGAGCAGCGGACGGGGGAGUAAUGCCUAGGAAUCUGACCGGUAGUGGGGGAUAACGACCGGAAACGGGCGCUAAUACCGCAUACUAUCAGCAGAGCCUAGGUCGGAUUAGCUAGUUGGUGGGGUAAAGGCCUACCAAGGCGACGUUCCGUAACUGGUCUGAGCGGAUGAUCAGUCACACUGGAACUGAGACACGGUCCAGACUCCUACGGGAGGCAGCAGUGGGGAAUAUUGGACAAUGGGCGAAAGCCUGAUCCAGCCAUGCCGCGUGUGUGAAGAAGGUCUUCGGAUUGUAAAGCACUUUAAGUUGGGAGGCGUUACCAACAGAAGAAGCACCGGCUAACUCCGUGCCAGCAGCCGCGGUAAUUC